rnacentral:rRNA from 1 species
UACAGAGGUCCCAAGCGUUGUUCGGAUUCACUGGGCGUAAAGGGUGCGUAGGUGGCCAGGUAAGCCUGAUGUGAAAUCUCGGAGCUCAACUCCGAAACUGCAUUGGAUACUAUCUGGCUGGAGGGUCGGAGGGGGGACUGGAAUUCUCGGUGUAGCAGUGAAAUGCGUAGAUAUCGAGAGGAACACCAGUGGCGAAGGCGAGUCCCUGGACGACUCCUGACACUGAGGCACGAAAGCUAGGGGAGCAAACAGG